GGGGUAAUAUAUGAAAGAAUGUAAUAAAGCUUCCUUAAUCUGAUGAUCGACCAGUGUAUGGUUGGACACACACUGUUGCAUGGCAUUCUUGUUUCUUGAUGUUGUUCUUGGUCUUCUUUAUCUUCUUCUUGUUGUUGGACUUCUUGAAACACCCAGAACUUCAUAAUAUUUGGUGUUCUUCCUUAGUCCAUGCCUAAACAUGAAUGAUGCACCCUUCCGGACUUUAAGAACAAUCCCAACAGCCACACCAUAAACUUCAAUCAAAACAUAAUGCUUAUGAAGAAUGGAUUUUGCUCAUGUUAAAAUGGUAGAUGCAUUAAUGAAUCUUUUUGAUGAACG
rnacentral:lncRNA from 1 species